CCGGCCCUGAGCACAGUAAACAUCUCUCUCUCUCUCCUCUGGUUGUCUAGUCAAGUUUCAAGUUUCUUUAGGAAACGGUGUCGUUGGUGACGCCUGGUUUACUCUGUGUAUUGGUGGAAAAACUGUUAUUAAUAAACUUGGUCAUUUGCGCUGUCUCUUAAGGGAGAAGCACCGAAGCUGUGACGGUCAUGGAGAGCCUGAAAUUGGAAGGAAAAAGGUUCGCUUCUGCAUACUUAAAGUGAAGAGAUCCUGGAGUCGGUGGAAAGUGAGGUAAUCAGUCCCUCAGCCAUGAUGGGUGUUCAGUCCAUCAGCGUUGAUCAGUCUGGAGCAGAGUACGGACACCUGCUGCACCUCAUUUCUGGAACCAGAAAGGAAGUGCAUCAGUUGAAGUUAUCAUCACAGAACCCAGCAAAAUUUAUGUGCCAGUGAAAAUGUUGCAGUUGUGUCCGACAGCCGGGAAAUUGGUGCACGGGAUUUUAAAUUUAUUUACAACAACAGCAUAAAAGAAAGAAAUAAAAUUCGCCACGAAAAUAAAA